GAUGAACGCUGGCGGCGUGCCUAAUACAUGCAAGUCGAGCGAACAGACGAGGAGCUUGCUCCUCUGACGUUAGCGGCGGACGGGUGAGUAACAUGUGGAUAACCUACCUAUAAGACUGGGAAAACUUCGGGAAACCGGAGCUAAUACCGGAUAAUAUAUUGAACCGCAUGGUUCAAUAGUGAAAGACGGUUUUGCUGUCACUUAUAGAUGGAUCCGCGCCGCAUUAGCUAGUUGGUAAGGUAACGGCUUACCAAGGCAACGAUGCGUAGCCGACCUGAGAGGGUGAUAGGCCACACUGGAACGGGAACACGGUCCAGACUCCUACGGGAGGCAGCAGUAGGGAAUCUUCCGCAAUGGGCGAAAGCCUGACGGAGCAACGCCGCGUGAGUGAUGAAGGUCUUCGGAUCGUAAAACUCUGUUAUUAGGGAGAAACAAAUGUGUAAGUAACUAUGCACGUCUUGACGGUACCUAAUCAGAAAGCCACGGCUAACUACGUG
rnacentral:rRNA from 1 species